rnacentral:rRNA from 1 species
UAUGGAGGAUGCGAGCGUUAUCCGGAUUUAUUGGGUUUAAAGGGUGCGUAGGCGGAGUGCCAAGUCAGCGGUAAAAAUUCGGGGCUCAACCCCGUCGUGCCGUUGAAACUGGCGCCCUUGAGUGGGCGAGAAGUAUGCGGAAUGCGUGGUGUAGCGGUGAAAUGCAUAGAUAUCACGCAGAACCCCGAUUGCGAAGGCAGCAUACCGGCGCCCGACUGACGCUGAAGCACGAAAGCGUGGGUAUCGAACAGG